rnacentral:rRNA from 1 species
AGCUCCAAUAGCGUAUAUUAAAGUUGUUGCAGUUAAAAAGCUCGUAGUUGGAUUUUGGACCUCAUCCGGCGGUCCGCCUUAACGGUGAGUACUGACGGGUGGAGUCUUCCGGUUGAAGGCUACCUGUGCUCUUCAUUGGGUGUAGGUAGAAUUCAGCCAAUUUACUUUGAAAAAAUUAGAGUGUUCAAAGCAGGCCUUUGGCUUGAAUACAUUAGCAUGGAAUAACAGAAUAGGACUUUGGUUCUAUUUUGUUGGUUUCUAGGACCGAAGUAAUGAUUAAUAGGGAUAGUUGGGGGCAUUAAUAUUUAAUUGUCAGAGGUGAAAUUCUUUGAUUUAUGAAAGAUUAACUUCUGCGAAAGCAUUUGCCAAGGAUGUUU